rnacentral:sRNA from 1 species
GCAGGCAUACACUACCCACUGGCUUUCAUCAGCAACUUCUCAGCUCUAGGAAAGUUUCUAACAGAGAACUAUGUGCCUUAUUAUACAGUCCACCCGCUCCAUUCACCGUGGCCUGGCAUGAAACAAGGACUAGCAGACAGCCCCACAAAGGGUUCUCUGUCUGUGAGACCCUCAAAUGAGUUUUUUGUUCUUUGCUGUGUUGAGGGACUGGGGAACUGAGCAUGUCUCGGUGGAUCAGGAGAACGGGUGGAUCAGAGAGUUUCUGUGGCCCUGACAACCUCCUUCAUUAUUUUCCUCACCCAUGUGAACUCCUGUGCAAUUGAGUCAGCAUCUCCCUCGGUGAUCAGGAGUCAUUGUGUGGCUGCCGGGAUGUCCAAUCACAUAUGAACUUCUGCAGGAACUAGGCGGGGCACACACCCUCAUUAGUACCCCUUCUGAUGGAAAACAAUAAAAUCGGUAGUGGAGAUGGACUCAAGGUGGUUGAAGCAGGACCUUAGGCUCUUUUCCCUAAAGAGACACGCAGACACGCUUCCGAUUUAAAGAACGUGCAGAAUUUGCUGUUACAACGGAUGCUGAUCUAAGUCCUUUUACAUCGUGAACAUCUAGCGUGGGGAUUCUAAAGGUAUACGGAUGCACUGUCAUAAAGCCUUCAGAUAAUAUUGCAGAUAUGACAACUGAGGCCGAGGAAAGCAAGAUUACAGAGGAGUAAACACAUCAAUUUCAAAGGAUUAUGUCUGCAGUGGUGCCAUUUAUACGUUGAAUGACCUGGACCUGAGCUUCCGCUUUAUGCAGAGUCUAGAGAUUUGAAUAUUCCAGGACCACACAGGUGGAAAUGCAUGCAUCUGUCUCUAAGCUAGUGAAGUGCAUCUCACUAAACCAUCUACAGAAGAAAACAUUAUUGUUAAAAUACUCACUAGACAGACUGUAAAGUACAAUCCUGGGUUCCUAUGUGGAUUCUGUUUAUAUAUUCAAAAUCAUGGGUUGAAAAUGUUAUUUAAGUCCAGUGUAAGAGUUGAAGUGGACGAACCACGUUCGUUUUCAUCUUUCUUUCCCCCUGUUUUCUCCUCCCCUUCUUUCAGUACUUUUGUCCAUCCUCCUUCACUUCCUCCGUCCACCCUUCUGCCUGACCUCUCCAUCCUUCUCUCCUUCACUUCCUCCAUCCAUCCAUCUUCUGCCUCGUCCCCUCCAUCCCUCUCUUCUUCCCUUACAUUUUUCUCUCCUUUAAUGUGAGCCUAAGCAGUGCGUCUUCUCAGCUUUCUUACUUGGAGACUUUUUAAAGCAAUUUAAAACUGAGGUUUAAACAUUUUCUUACUUGUUGUGUUGGCUUCUCUUCCCACUCACUCCGUGUGAGCUACUCUGGGGAUUGUGAGGGAAAGUGAAACAACAGAAAUCAAGCGUGCACACUUAAUCUUUACACCAUCUACUAUGCGAAGUAUCGAGACAAAACAAAAGAAAAACAGUAACUCAACGUAUUCGGUCAGCUCCUCAGUGAGUGCUUGCCAAGCAGAUAUGGUAAAUUCAGUAAAUAGUCUUCAACAAAUAGUCUUCCUAGGAGACCACGAAGAAAAAUUUCCUUGUAAAGAAUACAUUUUUUUAAGGAUAAUCUAUAAGAACAAUUAAAAAUCUCAGGAGUAAAUUGAGCUGAAUUGGUAAUUUAGAGAAUUUUCUGACGGGACUGUUCAAUGCUCUAUUUUUUGAAUAGUAAUUAAUAAUGAUAACCAGUUGUGGGAUACCUACCUUUGGUCAGGUAGGUCAAAUCUAGACGAUGUAACAUAGCUCACCUACUUCUCUACAACGAUGUACACUUUCAAUAUAAGGACACCACUUUUAAUCUCAAAUAUAAGAAGGCCAUAAACUCAAUCAACUAUCCCCACUUUCGGGGAACGUGAAGGAACAUCUUCCAACUCCACUUAGUAAUCUCACUACAGCUGAUGAACAUAUCAGAAUGACAGUUGUGCACCCCAUCCCUUAAGAAAGAGCGCAUUAAGCAGUGCAGGGAAAGAUAAACCUUAAAAAGGAUUCACCUGUCCUAACGGCCCAUCUGCUCUCCACUCCCCGCAGAGCACAUCUCUUUUCAGGGGUCCCUCUCAGGUGUGCUCCUACCUUAUGUAACACUCUUUAUUAUACGUUCAUGCUGCGACCCUGUCAGAAUUUCUGCAGCAGGGAUGACCUCCGCAAUGACCAUCCACAGCCUGCCAAGCAAACUUGGUCAGUGUUAGCUGAUUAAACUUUUAACAACAUCCCCUGUGCGAUAAAGGGCAAAAUGACAACUUUGCCCAUCGUCAAGGUGUCUGUAUAAUAAACUAAUUAGUAAACCACACAGUCUGUGGAGCUUUUAAUGAGUGCUAUCGGCUGGCCUCUGUAAUAAAAACCCAGUCUGCCCCCUUUUGGGAUUCAAUUAAGGCACAGACUGUCAUAUGCUUGGUCUAGCUGAUCAAUGAAUCCAUUCCGACCUUUGUCAGAGCUGUUUGCAAGGUCAGUGGCAGUAGUGGGAAAAGCUAGCUUGGUAAAGGAGAUAUACCCAGCAGCGAUGGACAGGCUGCAUGUCCAGUUGUUAAUAUCCUCGUGGUCAUUUGACACCAGCAGAAGUUUCUCUCAUUCAAAGGUUAUCCGAAAGAGAAGGCAGAACUGGAAAAAAAUAUGUUGGUAUUUUUUCCCAGAAAGGUCCUUCUGUUAUUAAAAAAAUGAUCAUUAGUGUGUUAACACCUACUCUUACCUCGUGGUCUCUUCCUCCCUUCGCCCAGUGGAAUAUGCUGUCCAACUUUUGUUCUUUCAAAUAUAGCUAUUGAUUUAGUUCUCCAGAUGUGAAGGUAAAUGUCACCUUUUUUGAGAUGCACUCCUGUUGUUACGGUUCAAGAUGUUGAGGUUUUAAAAAAGGAAAUGAUUGCAAAAGAUGAUUUUCCUCAUUAAAAGUCCAAGAUGUUACGAAAUUGGUUUUUACAAUUAAGUGAUUUUUUUAAGAACUCUAUGAUUCUGACUAUUGCAGAUAAGGUACUCUGAGUCUACAUUUCCAAUAUAGAUGCUAAAGGAAAUAUUUGAUGAAUUCUGAUACUUUUAUAAUAAAAACAAAACCACAUUUGUCUGAUAUUUAAAUGAUGGCUUGAAAAUACAAUGAAUACGGUCUUCUAUUUUAACACUAAUAAAUUUAAAGGGACAAAGUAUUUGUGAGAAUUUUUGAUGGUACAUUAAAGACAAAAGGUUCAAAGGUUCUAACAUACACAUUAGUAUAAGAUGUAGACUGUAGUCAAAACUAGACAACCUGUUACAUUAAGUAAGACUGGUGUAAUCUCUAAAUAUUAAAGAUGAAGAUAUCAGAAUUAAAAUUAAAUAAAAAUGAAGGUAACAGUAUUAAAAUCUAAUUGAUAUUUCUGAAUGUUAAGUAUUGAUUGUGGAACCAUAGAAUAUGCAUUAGUAAAUAAUAAAUAAAGACAGAUGCAAUACCUAAAUGACAUAAAAGACUCAACAACAUCAUGAAGUUCAACACAUAGAGGCUGCAGAGAUGGCUUGGCCAGGGAGUGAAUAAACUGAUCUUUCAGUGGCUGGACUUUGGAUCCCAGCGCUUACAAAGCUCCAGCUUCAAGUCCCAGCAUCAUUCUGUCCUUUGUGGGCAUGGACACGUACAUUCUCACACACCUUUUUUACACAAAUGUACACACAAAAAUGUAAAUUUAAUAGAUGAAAAACCACGCAAUUAAAAAUAAAUAUUGAAUGAAAGAAAAUAUAACUACAGUUUUGUAUGCAGAAAAAAAAAGGUCUGCAACUUUCAUGAGGGCAUAAAUACCUCCUUCCGAAACAAAUCACAGUAAAACAAGAAAUUAAAGUAGAUUUCAUCUGAAAAAAAUACUGAAGGUUUCCUUUGGAGAAUAUAUAAUAAGGAUCAGUUACUUGAAUCUGCAAAGAGAUGUGAUGUGAGGGAGUUGGAGAAAGAUUAAAUUAAUGUUAACUCACAAUCAGUAUGUAAAAAAUGCAUGCAUAUAUAUCUAUUAUUAAUUUACUUCUGUUAAUUUAAAUGCAGCAGCUUGACAUCAUGAUAGCAAAACAUACUCCGGGACUAAAGUCGAUUUAAGUAAAAUAGAUGGCAGCAGGGUCACAAAGCUAAUAGGGACAGAGUAAGAAAGUUCCCCGACAUGAUUUCUCUACAAUUCAAGAAAUUGCGUCAUUAUUUAAGUAGCUUUUAAAAAUAUAUUAAAGUACCACGUAACAAGUGAAAUAUUUUAUGAAGCUUGAAUUAUCAGAUAAGAAACAGUGACAAGAAUUCAUAUAGAAUAAUCAUUAAACAACAAUGGGUAGAAAAUCACUUGUGAAAGACAAAGGAAGAAGAAUAGGAAAGAAUAUUAAAAGACAUUGGAUAUAAAUGCAAAUAUGAUUGACCGUUAUUAAUAUGACGAAUCUGUUAAUGUCAACACAAGGUAGCGCAUUGUCCGGUGGAAUGAAACAUUCUAUCUGUGAAAACAUGUUUCAGGGCCUGGAGCUGAAACUCAUUGGUUGACUGUGUAAAUGGUACACAUGCCUUGUGUUAAAUCCUCAACAUCCCAAUAAAGAAACAAAUAAAUCCCCAACAAAAUCAACACAGCGCAGGAAGCUGCUUUCAAUGUGAAAACCCAGGCAGGAUAAAACUAAAGAGAAGAAAACUGUAAGUCAACGCUAAUUAAAGGAAAUGUGAUGAUUGAUUGCUAAGGAUAUGUCACAGCCUGAAGAUCUGAGGCCUGUGGCCAUCUCUUAAUCACGAGGAAUUUUCUUCUCUAGGAUGUAAAGAUGUAGGCUUUUGAAACUUGUCCGCAAUGAGGAGGAGCAGACAAGAGGGUUUAAUUUUUUUUUUUUUUGGUUCUUUUUUUCAGAGCUGGGGACCGAACCCAGGGCCUUGGGCUUCCUAGGCAAGCGCUCUACCACUGAGCUAAAUCCCCAACCCCAGAGGGUUUAAUUUCUAGAUCAUUCUUGGCCACAAAGUGAGUGAAAGCCAGCCUGGGGUACUAGGGACUCUGUACGAAGGGGAAGACAAAAAAAGGAGAAAGAAAGAGAAAGAACAAAGGAAGAGGAGGAGGAAGAACAGAGAAGGAACAAAAUUAGUCGUUGCUGUGGCAGUGAAGGUUGAAGAGGAGGAAGGUGCAGAAGAGGAGAAGAAGAGGAGGAAAAGGAGGAAGAGAAGAAAGA